UGCCAGACUCCUACGGGAGGCAGCAGUGGGGAAUAUUGCACAAUGGGGGAAACCCUGAUGCAGCGACGCCGCGUGAGUGAAGAAGUAUUUCGGUAUGUAAAGCUCUAUCAGCAGGGAAGAAAAUGACGGUACCUGAUUAAGAAGCCCCGGCUAACUACGUGCCAGCAGCCGCGGUAAUACGUAGGGGGCAAGCGUUAUCCGGAUUUACUGGGUGUAAAGGGAGCGUAGACGGUUACGCAAGUCUGGAGUGAAAGGCGGGGGCCCAACCCCCGGACUGCUUUGGAAACUGUAUAACUGGAGUGCAGGAGAGGUAAGUGGAAUGCGUGGGGUAGCGGUGAAAUGCAUAGAUAUCACGCAGAACUCCGAUUGCGAAGGCAGCAUACCGGCGCGCAACUGACGCUCAUGCACGAAAGCGUGGGUAUCGAACAGGAUUAGAUACCCUCGUAU
rnacentral:rRNA from 1 species